GCUAGCAUAUCAAUAAGCGGAGGAAAAGAAACUAACAAGGAUUCCCAUAGUAACUGCGAGUGAAGCGGGAAAAGCUCAAAUUUAAAAUCUGGCGGUCUUGGCCCGUCCGAGUUGUAGUCUGGAGAAGUGCUUUCCGCGCUGGACCGUGUAUAAGUCUCUUGGAACAGAGCGUCAUAGAGGGUGAGAAUCCCGUCUUUGACACGGACUACCAGUGCUUUGUGAUGCGCUCUCAAAGAGUCGAGUUGUUUGGGAAUGCAGCUCAAAAUGGGUGGUGAAUUCCAUCUAAAGCUAAAUAUUGGCGAGAGACCGAUAGCGAACAAGUACCGUGAGGGAAAGAUGAAAAGCACUUUGGAAAGAGAGUUAAACAGUACGUGAAAUUGCUGAAAGGGAAACGCUUGAAGUCAGUCGCGUUGUCCGGAACUCAGCCUUGCUUUUGCUUGGUGCACUUUCCGGAUGACGGGUCAGCAUCGAUUUUGACCGUCGGAAAAGGGCUGGAGUAAUGUGGCACCUCCGGGUGUGUUAUAGACUCUGGUCGCAUACGGCGGUUGGGAUCGAGGAACGCAGCGCGCCGCAAGGCAGGGGUUCGCCCACUUUCGCGCUUAGGAUGCUGGCAUAAUGGCUUUAAACGACCCGUCUUGAAACACGGACCAAGGAGUCUAACAUACCUGCGAGUGUUUGGGUGGAAAACCCGAGCGCGUAAUGAAAGUGAAAGUUGAGAUCCCUGUCGUGGGGAGCAUCGACGCCCGGACCAGACGUUCUCUGACGGAUCCGCGGUAGAGCAUGUAUGUUGGGACCCGAAAGAUGGUGAACUAUGCCUGAAUAGGGUGAAGCCAGAGGAAACUCUGGUGGAGGCUCGUAGCGAUUCUGACGUGCAAAUCGAUCGUCAAAUUUGGGUAUAGGGGCGAAAGACUAUCGAACCAUCUAGUAGCUGGUUCUGCCGAGUCUCCUCUCCGGGGGUU
rnacentral:rRNA from 1 species